rnacentral:rRNA from 1 species
UACGGAGGGGGCUAGCGUUGUUCGGAAUUACUGGGCGUAAAGCGCACGUAGGCGGCUUUGUAAGUUAGAGGUGAAAGCCUGGAGCUCAACCCCAGAAUUGCCUUUAAGACUGCAUCGCUUGAAUCCAGGAGAGGUGAGUGGAAUUCCGAGUGUAGAGGUGAAAUUCGUAGAUAUUCGGAAGAACACCAGUGGCGAAGGCGGCUCACUGGACUGGUAUUGACGCUGAGGUGCGAAAGCGUGGGGAGCAAACAGG